GAAUUUUUUUGAGAUAUAAAAGCCAAGGAAAUAGGAGAGUUCCACUUCGGAAUGUUUUAAUGGCAGUUCCCCUCAAUUCGUAUGGGUAAUAAAAAUAAUUCUUUGCACUAAUUUAUUUUAUAUUCUUCUAUUUUAUAGCCCCUACCACACCAGCAUCUACAUCUUUGGGUAAGUAUAGAAUAUCUUAUGAGAUACAUGUUCUAAAGGCGGCUCCCUACAAUUUUCCAAUAGCUGCAUGGAUAAUCAAAAUAGUUAUUUGCAAUAAUUCUUUAUAUUCGUCUAUUUUAUAGCGACCACAGUAGCAACAACGUCUCCGAGUGAGUAGAAUAUUUUAUGAAAAAUAAAAGCCAGGGAAAUGUGAGAGUUUCCCUUUGGAAUGUUUUAAAGGCGGCUCGGAUAAUUUUGUAGUAACUGUAGGUUAUCAAAAUAAUUCUUCUUAACAACGUUUUAAUAUUCUUUUAUUUUAAAGCGACCUCUCCAGGAACAACGUCUCCGAGUGAGUAUAGAAUAUUCUAUGAGAAAUAAAAGCCAAGGAAAUGUGAGAGUUUCCCUUCGUAAUGUUUUAAAGGCGGCUCGUAUAAUUUUGUAGGAACUAGGUUAUCAAAAAAUUCUUCUUAAUAACGUUUUAAUAUUUUUUAUUUUAUAGCGACCUCGCCAGCAACGUCGUCUCCGAGUGAGUAUAUAUAUAUAGAAUAUUUGAUGAGAAAUAAAUGCCAAGGAAAUGUGAGAGUUUCAUUCAGAAUGUUUUAAAGGCGGCACCUUGCAAUUUUCUAUAAACUAGGUAAUCAAAAUAAUUCUUGUCAAACGUUUUUAUAUUCUUUUAAAUUAUAGCAACUUCACCAGCAACAAAGCCGUC